rnacentral:misc_RNA from 1 species
AACGCACAUUGCGCCCCUUGGUAUUCCAGGGGGCAUGCCUGUUUGAGCGUCAUUUCCUUCUCAAACACUUGUGUUUGGUUGUGAGUGAUACUCUUCUUUUAGGGUUAACUUGAAAUUGCAAGCCUGUUUAGGCUGUGUGUGCUGGCUCGGAUAGAGUGAUUUGUCCAGUCUGCUAAUACCAAAUUGUCGUAUUAGGUUUUACCAACUUCGACGAGCUGUUGUGUUAGUGGGUGUUAUUACGACAAGUAUACUUGCUUCUUGCUGCUACAUGGUCCGGCGAACAAUACUCUCAAAGUUUGACCUCAAAUCAGGUAGGACUACCCGCUGAACUUAA